AGAGCGCAGGGUGGAUGCCUUGGCACUAAGAGCCGAUGAAAGACGUGAUAAGCUGCGAAAAGCUUCGGGGAGGAGCAAAUAUCCAUUGAUCCGGAGAUAUCUGAAUGGGGAAACCCGGCUGAGAAGACCUCAGUCAUCCAUACGCCAAUCCAUAACGUAUGGAAGGGAACCCGGUGAACUGAAACAUCUAAGUAGCCGGAGGAAGAGAAAGAAACAUCGAUUUCCUUAGUAGCGGCGAGCGAAAGGGAAAGAGCCCAAACCGCGGGAUUUAUCCUGCGGGGUUAGGACUGCAUAAUUGAUUCGGGAUUGAUAGGAGAACGGUCUGGGAAGUCCGGCGAAAAAGCGUGAAAGCCGCGUAUCCGAAAUUGAAACCGACAUGGCAGUAUCCAGAGUACCACGAGACACGAGAAACCUUGUGGGAAUGAGCGGGGACCACCCCGUAAGGCUAAAUACUCCUUAGUGACCGAUAGCGCAUAGUACUGUGAAGGAAAGGUGAAAAGGACCCCGGGAGGGGAGUGAAAGAGAACCUGAAACCCUGUGUUUACAAGCUGUCGGAGCACUUUAAAUGUGCGACGGCGUACUUUUUGUAGAACGGUCCGGCGAGUUAUGGCAUGUGGUAAGGUUAAGUACUUCAGGUACGGAGCCGAAGCGAAAGCGAGUGUGAACAGCACGAUAGAAUCGCCUGCCAUAGACCCGAAACCGGGUGAUCUAUCCAUGUCCAGGUUGAAGUUGCCGUAAAAGGCAAUGGAGGACCGAACGCACAUCCGUUGAAAAGGGUGGCGAUGAGGUGUGGGUAGGGGAGAAAUUCCAAUCGAACCCGGAGAUAGCUGGUUCUCCUCGAAAUAGCUUUAGGGCUAGCCUCGUUUUAGUCUUAUGGAGGUAGAGCACUGAAUUUCCUAGGGGGCGUCAAAGCCUACCGAAGAAUAUCAAACUGCGAAUGCCGUACAGAUGAUUUACGGGAGUCAGACUGCACGAGAUAAGUUGGGUGGUCAAAAGGGAAAGAGCCCAGACCUACAGCUAAGGUCCCAAAGUGCGUGUUAAGUGGAAAAGGAUGUGGGAUUUCGAAGACAACUAGGAUGUUGGCUCAGAAGCAGCCACACAUUCAAAGAGUGCGUAAUAGCUCACUGGUCGAGCGUCUUUGCGCGGAGAAUUUAACGGGGCUAAACCUGACACCGAAGCUUAGGCAAUCCAGUAAUGGAUUGGGUAGGGGAGCGUUGUAUACGCGGCGAAACAGUAGCGCAAGCGGCUGUGGAGUGUAUAGAAGUGAGAAUGCCGGAAUGAGUAGCGCGAAUGCAGUGAGAAUCUGCAUGGCCGAAAGCCUCAGGUUUCUGGAGGAAGGUUCGUCCGCUCCAGGUUAGUCGGGAGCUAAGGUGAGGCCUAACGGCGUAGCCGAUGCACAGACGGUAGAGAUUCCGUCACCACCAAAAGAGUUAAGCACAGGGACACAUUUGAAGUCUCGGAGCCGGGUGUUGGUUCCGGUAGCGAUCGAGGGAAGUUAGUACCGAAGUCCGGGAUGGAAGAUGGCGAGAAAAGCUGUGUGUAUUUCUGCGGUGCCCGUACCGCAAACCGACACAGGUAGGUAGGAAGAAGAUUCUAAGGCCAACGGGAGAAGGGUUGUUAAGGAACUCGGCAAAUUGACCCCGUAACUUCGGGAGAAGGGGUGCUCCAGAGAUGGAGCCGCAGAGAAUCGGCCCAAGCAACUGUUUACCAAAAACACAGGUUUGUGCUAAAUCGAAAGAUGACGUAUACGAGCUGACGCCUGCCCGGUGCUGGAAGGUUAAGAGGAGAUGUGCAAGCAUUGAAUCGAAGCCCCAGUGAACGGCGGCCGUAACUAUAACGGUCCUAAGGUAGCGAAAUUCCUUGUCAGGUAAGUUCUGACCCGCAUGAAAGGCGUAAUGAUUUGGGCACUGUCUCAACAGCCCGCCCGGCGAAAUUGUAGUACCGGUGAAGAUGCCGGUUACCCGCGACAAGACGGAAAGACCCCAUGGAGCUUUACUGUAGCCUAAUAUUGGGUUUCGAUGUUGCAUGCACAGGAUAGAUGGGACUCUGGGAAGUGAUCGCUUUGGCGGUCAUGGAGAGGACGUUGGGAUACCAUCCUUGCGAUAUUGGAAUUCUAACCUGCGCCUUUGAAUCAAGGCGGGGGACAUUGUUAGGUGGGCAGUUUGACUGGGGCGGUCGCCUCCUAAAGAGUAACGGAGGCGUUCAAAGGUUCGCUCAGCUUGAACGGAAAUCAAGCAAAAGAGUGCAAACGCAGAAGCGAGCCUAACUGCGAGACUGACGGGUCGAGCAGUAACGAAAGUUGGAGUUAGUGAUCCGGUGGUAUGUGAGUGGAAAUGCCAUCGCUCAACGGAUAAAAGUUACCCUGGGGAUAACAGGCUGAUCUCCCCCAAGAGUCCACAUCGACGGGGAGGUUUGGCACCUCGAUGUCGGCUCAUCGCAUCCUGGGGCUGUAUUCGGUCCCAAGGGUUUGGCUGUUCGCCAAUUAAAGCGGUACGCGAGCUGGGUUCAGAACGUCGUGAGACAGUUCGGUCCCUAU
rnacentral:rRNA from 1 species